GCCUGGGUGGCUUAGUCGUUGAGUACCUGCCUUUGGCUCAGGGCAGGUUCCAGAUUCUCAGGUUCGAGUCCUGCAUCAGGCU
rnacentral:tRNA from 1 species